AUGCGAUAAGUAAUGUGAAUUGCAGAAUUCAGUGAAUCAUCGAAUCUUUGAACGCACAUUGCGCCCCCUGGUAUUCCGGGGGGCAUGCCUGUUCGAGCGUCAUUUCACCACUCAAGCCUCGCUUGGUAUUGGGCGACGCGGUCCGCCGCGCGCCUCAAAUCGACCGGCUGGGUCUUCUGUCCCCUCAGCGUUGUGGAAACUAUUCGCUAAAGGGUGCCACGGGAGGCCACGCCGAAAAACAAACCCAUUUCUAAGGUUGACCUCGGAUCAGGUAGGGAUACCCGCUGAACUUAA
rnacentral:misc_RNA from 1 species